rnacentral:rRNA from 1 species
ACGCGAGGAACCUUACCAGGUCUUGACAUCCCAUUGACCGCUAUGGAGACAUAGCUUUCCCUUUCAGGGACAGUGGUGACAGGUGGUGCAUGGUUGUCGUCAGCUCGUGUCGUGAGAUGUUGGGUUAAGUCCCGCAACGAGCGCAACCCUUGAUCUUAGUUGCCAGCAUUUAGUUGGGCACUCUAAGAUGACUGCCGGUGACAAACCGGAGGAAGGUGGGGAUGACGUCAAAUCAUCAUGCCCCUUAUGACCUGGGCUACACACGUGCUACAAUGGAUGGUACAAAGGGCUGCGAGACUGCGAAGUUAAGCGAAUCCCAUAAAAUCAUUCUCAGUUCGGAUUGCAGGCUGCAACUCGCCUGCAUGAAGCUGGAAUCGCUAGUAAUCGCGGAUCAGCAUGCCGCGGUGAAUACGUUCCCGGGCCUUGCACACACCGCCCGU